rnacentral:rRNA from 1 species
UACGUAGGUGGCAAGCGUUGUCCGGAAUUAUUGGGCGUAAAGCGCGCGCAGGCGGUCCUUUAAGUCUGAUGUGAAAUCUUGCGGCUCAACCGCAAGCGGUCAUUGGAAACUGGUUAACUUGAGUACAGAAGAGGAAAGUGGAAUUCCACGUGUAGCGGUGAAAUGCGUAGAGAUGUGGAGGAACACCAGUGGCGAAGGCGACUUUCUGGGCUGUAACUGACGCUGAGGCGCGAAAGCGUGGGGAGCAAACAGG